UUCUGACCGUAAACGAUGCCAACUAGCGAUCCGCCGGUGGAUUUUUAGCCCUGGUGGGUAGCUUCCCGGAAACGAAAGUCUUCCGGUUCCGGGGGAAGUAUGGUUGCAAAGCUGAAACUUAAAGGAAUUGACGGAAGGGCACCACCAGGAGUGGAGCCUGCGGCUUAAUUUGACUCAACACGGGGAAACUCACCCGGCCCGGACACCGUAAGGAUUGACAGAUUGAUAGCUCUUUCAUGAUUCGGUGGUUGGUGGUGCAUGGUCGUUCUUAGUUCGUGGAUCGAUUUGUCUGGUUUAUUCCGAUAACGAGCGAGACUCUAGCCUACUAAAUAGUAACGAGAUUAUCAAUGUCUCAGUUGCUUCUUAGAGGGAUUUUCGGUGUUUAGCCGCACGAGAUUGAGCAAUAACAGGUCUGUGAUGCCCUUAGAUGUCCGGGGCUGCACGCGCGCUACACUGGCGAAAUCAACGUGCUGUAUCCAUUCUCGAAAGGGAUUGGUAAACCCAUGAAAAUUUGCCGUGCUUGGGAUCGGAAAUUGCAAUUAUUUUCCGUGAACGAGGAAUUCCAAGUAAGUGCGAGUCAUCAACUCGCUCUG
rnacentral:rRNA from 1 species